rnacentral:tRNA from 1 species
GGCCCGUUCGUCUAUCGGUUAGGACAAAUGGUUUUCAUCCAUUAAAGAGGGGUUCGACUCCCCUACGGGCUACUA